AGCCUUCCUCUCUUAGCCAUCAUAAUUCCAACUAAUUUUUUUUUAUAAGCUACAUCCACCUUUAUUCUUCUGAACUCUAGAAUAUCCCUCUAUUUGUCAUGCUUAUAACUUUUAUUUGAAUCCUUACUUUUCUUUCCACAAAUGUUACUGUGUUUAGAAUAUAUCAAAUCUCUUUCAAAGAAUGAUAGCAUGAUUCUUACUCCCCACAUACUACCUUCAUGAUCUAAUAGUUCAUAGCUUUCAAUUUCUAAACCAUUAAUAAUUUAUAGCA
rnacentral:lncRNA from 1 species